CAGUAGCCGCGGUAAUACGAAGGGGGCUAGCGUUGUUCGGAAUUACUGGGCGUAAAGCGCACGUAGGCGGACAUUUAAGUCAGGGGUGAAAUCCCGGGGCUCAACCCCGGAACUGCCUUUGAUACUGGGUGUCUAGAGUAUGGAAGAGGUGAGUGUAAUUCCGAGUGUAGAGGUGAAAUUCGUAGAUAUUCGGAGGAACACCAGUGGCGAAGGCGGCUCACUGGUCCAUUACUGACGCUGAGGUGCGAAAUCGUGGGGAGCAAACAGGAUUAGAUACCCCCGUAGUCCCUGUCUCUUAUAC
rnacentral:rRNA from 1 species